rnacentral:rRNA from 1 species
UACGUAGGGUGCGAGCGUUAUCCGGAUUUACUGGGUGUAAAGGGAGCGCAGACGGAACUGCAAGUCUGAUGUGAAAGCCCGGGGCUCAACCUCUGUCUGUCGGCGGAUACUGCAAAUCUAGAGUAUGUGAGAGGGAAGUGGAAUUCCUGGUGUAGCGGUGAAAUGCGUAGAUAUCAGGAGGAACUCCGGUGGCGAAGGCGACUUCCUGGCACAAGACUGACGCUCAUGUGCGAAGGCUAGGGUAGCGAACGGGGAUUAGA